rnacentral:rRNA from 1 species
AUUGAACGCUAGCGGGAUGCCUUACACAUGCAAGUCGAACGGUGUGGCGAACGGGUGAGUAAUGUAACGGAACGUGCCCAGUCCCGGGCGAUAACUACACGAAAGCGUAGCGCAUACCGCAUCCUAUUGGACUGGCCGUAAUCGGAUUAGCUAGUUGGUGGGGUAACGGCGCACCAAGGCGACGAUCCGUACCUGGUGUGAGAGGACGACCAGCCACACUGGGACUGAGACACGGCCCAGACUCCUACGGGAGGCAGCAGUGGGGAAUUUUGGACAAUGGGGGAAACCCUGAGCCAGCGAUCCCGCGUGUGCGAUGAAGGCCUUCGGGUUGUAAAGCACUUUUGGCAGGAAAGCGGUACCUGCAGAAUAAGCAACGGCUAACUACGUGCCAGCAGCCGCGGUAAUAC